rnacentral:rRNA from 1 species
UACGUAGGGUGCGAGCGUUAAUCGGAAUUACUGGGCGUAAAGGGUGCGCAGGCGGUUUUGUAAGCCAGAUGUGAAAUCCCCGGGCUUAACCUGGGAAUGGCAUUUGGGACUGCAAGGCUUGAGUGCGGCAGAGGAGACUGGAAUUCCUGGUGUAGCAGUGAAAUGCGUAGAUAUCAGGAGGAAUACCGAUGGCGAAGGCAGGUCUCUGGGCUGACACUGACGCUCAUGCACGAAAGCGUGGGGAGCAAACAGG